UACGUAGGGGGCAAGCGUUGUCCGGAUUUAUUGGGCGUAAAGAGCGUGUAGGCGGUUUGGUAGGUCCGCUGUGAAAACUCGAGGCUCAACCUCGGGACGCCGGUGGAAACCAUCAGACUAGAGUCCGGAAGAGGAGAGUGGAAUUCCUGGUGUAGCGGUGAAAUGCGCAGAUAUCAGGAAGAACACCCGUGGCUAAGGCGGCUCUCUAGUACGGUACUGACGCUGAGACGCGAAAGCGUGGGGAGCGAACAGG
rnacentral:rRNA from 1 species